rnacentral:lncRNA from 1 species
AGACUCAGUUAUUAUUAUUAUUAUCUAGUAUUUUGCUUCUUCCUAUAUAUAAAUUUUAUUAAAUAAAUAAAUAAAUGAAUUACAUAUUGAUUCUUUAAAUUAUUGCAUUUGUGACACUUUGGUCUUUAAUUUUAAAUUAUUAUAAUUUCUGAUUUAAAUUUUAUACUCUCAAAAUUUUAAGUUGAUAUUUUGAACCCCCACUCUAUUAGAAUUUCGUUGUUGUUUCGUCUAUUUCUUAUAACUUAUAUUUGAACAUAUUGAAACGCCAUUCAAAAUGACAAAAGUAUAUUAAAAAUUAUUUUUUAUAAAAAAUAAGGAUAGUUUAAUUUUUUCAUCCUUUUUGUUAACGCUAUAAUUUUUUAAAAAUAAUUUUGAAAUUUUAGUGAAAGGAUGAAUAUUGUUAGAAAAUUUUUAAUAUUAAAGUAAUUACUUAUGUACUUCUGAAAAGUUUUCGACUUUCUUUUUUACUCCUCUUAGAAGGCUAAUAUUAAAAAUAUUUUUUUAAUAUUUCAAGUUAUUUUAAAUAUAUUUUUAAAGUUAAAUUCUAUUAGUAAAAUUACUAUUUUACCCAUUCAAAUAUAUUCUUUUAUUGUCACUUUCUUUUCUUAGUUGUCCUUACGUUAGAGGUAAAAGAGGUAUGUUGAUUUUUUUAACUGUUGUCGAAACUUAAUUCGGAUUUAACUCGAGAUAGUUUAACAGGUAUUAACAACAGAAUUAUUUUUGAAUAACACAAAAAUAUAUGAGAAGCAUAUUUGAAAUAAAAAAAGGAUAAACUUCAUAUAUCGUGCGGUUUAAAGUGUAUCAAUUUAGUAUCUUGUAGUUUUAUUUUUCUCUUUUCGUUAGCUCCUCCGUUAAUAUUUCGUUAAAUUAUCUACAAAAAAAAAAUUCAGAUACCCUAUCUAGAUUUAUCGAAUAUUCAUACCUUUUAGUUUUAACUUCGUCACUAAUUUAACAAAAAAAAUAUUAGAAGAAUGAAUAAUAAAAAGAAAAAAAUAAAAUCAGGAGGCACUAAAUUGAUACAUUUUAAAUCAUAAAGUAUUAAAAUAAAAAAAGUACGAAGCCAUGAGAAUAAUAUUUAAUUUUUAAAAAAAAAAUAAAAAAAAUAAAAAAUAUUUCAGAAACUUUGAGAGUUUUAUUACGUAUUAUCCUUUUAAUAUUUCAGAAAG